rnacentral:rRNA from 1 species
UUCUUGGAGAGUUUGAUCCUGGCUCAGGACGAACGCUGGCGGCGUGCCUAAUACAUGCAAGUCGAGCGAAUCUGCAGGAGCUUGCUCCUGUUGGUUAGCGGCGGACGGGUGAGUAACACGUGGGCAACCUGCCUGUAAGACUGGG